rnacentral:lncRNA from 1 species
AAGCUAACAAUACGAGUUGAUAACGGGUCUUUUGACGGAUUAUAUGAGUCAACCUAUAUUUUGUACUGUUUUUUAGCUUAUGUACUAGAUAAAGGUGGGCCCAACAGGUUAAGCAGUAUGCUUGAUUUUUUCAAGUAUUCCGGCGUCACCAAAAUAGUACUCAUCUCUAACUAUGGACUAUCAUAACCAGUAGGCUUUUCAUCCAUCAUAUAAAUAGUAUGUAUGAUAGUACAAUAUCUGCAAAAGAGGACGUAAAACACUCUACAAUGCUACUGCUAUCCGGAUAACCAUAGGUACUGAUUACAGCUAAAUACUAUUGAUGUAAUAGCCACAAGAAUAUAGAAAAUUUGUAUUUUCAGCACAAGCACAUUUAACCCAUCAUUCCCUUUCGACAAUCAACUACAGUGCCCAUCUCAGUUGCCACUCUUGUUAUAUCCGAAACACCUAUCAGUAAAUAUAGAUAUGUGAGACGAAAUACAGAUAUGAGAGAAGCACUUUGAACUUCCAAUUGUUAGUAGACCAAUAAAUCAUCGUCCGUAAUUUGGACAUAGUACAAGCAAGAAAAAAUAAACGGGAGCUUACCAAUAUACAUCUUCAAGCCAGUAACUAUUAUGUCAUCUCCACAUGUAAUUGCAACAUGAAAUAGGUGUAUAAUUGGUUGCAUCUGCUGGUUUGUAAUAUUUUACCAGUGUAAUUCCCCACCUUCAACAGUACGAAGAGGCAAAUUACCUUGAGUAAUGAUGUAAAAUGCAAGGAUAAGGAAGUCACAACUGACAAACCUCAUCAUAAGAGAAUUUAACAGAGAAUAAUUCACUGUUUCAGAAUAAAGACAAUCAAUUGCACCAUAACAACUACCUUAUCAUAUGUUAUCAUCAGAUGCCUUGAAAACUUUUUGGCCUUUAGCUCCUCUUCAUCCAAUGGGCAAGAACAAUCGCUUUCAAGUAUAACAAAUCAUAGUAACAUUCAUACACAAUCUCAAACUGAUAAAAAGAAGAGCUUGGUAAAACAUACAGGUUUUUAAGACACAUAAAACCAGUUUACCUGAGUGGAUCUCAGCACCUCUUCAAAUGCAUAUUUAUUUUGUUUCUUUUGUCAUCUUGGUGAACUACUUCAAAAUCAACUAAAAGCUACCGAGCAUAUUAAAAUUAAACACAAAUUUUCAAGCCAAGCGAAAAUAUUACAACAGUAACCAAUCUCCUAAUAAGUAAAGCAUGGCAUUAACUGUCAAAGUCAAAGACGUAUCAAAUGAAGGGAAAACAUUUAAAGGAAAUUUAGAAGUUUACAAACAGUGUAAAGUGUAAACAUUAAUUGGCAGGCCUUAUUUGAAGAUCCCGGAACAAUAAUGAAGCGCCUCCUAAAUAUUAUGUGGUUCACAUUAAGAAAAAAUUAGAAGUCUAAUUAAUUACAUGGGAUACCUAAAUAUGCGAUUUUAUUUUACAGUAUUUCCGGUAAAGAAUCUCUCUACCUGCAGUCAAGCUAACCAAAAUAAAGAUCAGUGAUUCAUCCAAAAGAAAUGAAACUGUUGAAUGACCCUGUGUGACAAAGAGGUCAAAUUAGAUUCCCAGUUUUCACAAGCAUGGAUCCAAACUGUUUCAGUAACUUCUUUUGUAUGUAAAAAAGAAAACUUCUCUUUGUUUCUCUCUUAUAAGUAGAGACAACGAAGCACCUAGAAUCAUAAGGUAAACAGAAAUAACUGAAAAAAGAAACAAAAAGAACAAGCAAGGAGCUCACCUCAAAUCAUUAAUGAACGGUGAAAGAAAAUCAAAUAUUGAUAGGCACAAAAAAUCGAAGCAACAACUGAAGAACACAGAGAUAAAAAAAACUUGCUGGAUGGAGAUUUUGAUGCGUUUUGGCAUUGAGAGAAAGUAAUACUUCAGUCUCUAUGUAAUGUUCAAAGCUAGUUUUUACAACAUAAUCCUUGUCAAAAGAACCAUGAAAUAAUACCAGAGAAGGGAGAAAGCAGUGAGAUGCAUAAGAAAUAUAAUAGAAAGCCUACUUCGAAUAAAUUUCUCAAACACCUAAGUUACAAAAGCUCUUCGCAUGUUAAAGUUUCUGUGCCCGAUAGCCCUAAGACCUCAUAAGAAAACACAAAUUCCUAACAUGUCAUCGAAGAUAAAACAGAUGAUAGAAGAAACAAAAGCUAAAAAGAAGAAUACCCACCAGAAAAUAAUGAUCCAGAAAGAAAAAUUCAGUAGCAACAUUAAGAUCAGAGGAGUAAGAGGAGAACUGUUUGGAGAUAGAGAACUUUGAGAAAUCUAAGAUCGAUAAGAGAAACGAAACAGUCACUCCCCAUAUGAUGAAAAUGAACUCCACAUAUUGGCCAAGCAAUACAGAGAAUUAGCAAUAUUGAAUAGCAUUAGCAACAGAUGUAAAUUAUCGUGUUUCUAUGCAUAUAAUUUUAUCAUACAUUGUAUAGUUCUCAUUCAGGAAGGAAAAAUCACUGGGAGAAAUAAAAGGACUUACAAAUUGGUCAUAUAUCUGUGAAUUCCUGAUAAAUUCUUUAUAGCUGAUAAAUUGUUUAAUUUCUACCGUUCAUUUGUGCGACCCAAGUAUCGGAUGAUCAUGUAAAAUAACAAAUAGAUGACUUUACAGUUUAAAGACGUGCAUUUUUUCACGAAGCUUUUCUUUGAAAGAUAAUAAAGUAUAAAAGAAGAAAAAAUUAGGAACCAGAGAACUAAUAUACGAUGCGCAUUGACUCAAGUUGCAGGAUUUUGCAAAAUACAAUUAAAAGAAAGCUAAGAGAGUACGAAUAAGUGCUAUAAUGGAGCACCAUUUUGUUCUAUGUUUGAAUUGAAUUCAAACUUUGGGUGUUACCUCGUGUUUCCAGUGGAAGAGAAAAUAAGCACAAAAAGAUUCAAGAGUCGGACCAGUGGCGGACCUAGAAUUUCAAGUCAAUGGGUGCUCGAGCAAUCACCCUUCUCUGUUUGGGUCUGUCUUAGCCGCAACCCGUAACCUGUGAAAAGAGAGACGAACCAUACUUCUGAAAAGGUGAUUGUCAUUUUACAUCUAAAGAUAAAUUCAUCAUUUUUUGUAUUACUCUAAGCUAAUUCUGAAUAAUUGUACAUCAGUCACUACAUGGACAUAAAUAAAUAAGUUCCAAAUGAAAAUAUUGCUUCUAAACCAUUCUCUGGCGAAGUGCUUUAGCAGCCUUUGCGAAUCCUCUUAACCUCAUGCAGCAGAAGACUAUCCAAUGCUAUAGGUGCUUAAUGAACAAUUCAUAUCAUAUAGUAUUAAAAUAUCAAUUUUAUUAUAUAUGCUCAUUAGCAGUUUAAUGGGUGUUUCAGCAGCCACUCUUCUAUAUGUGGGUCCGCCUUAGGUAGGAGUGAUAAACGCUGGAAAUAAAGUGAUAAACACGUCUGUUCAAAUAUUUACUUAGCACAUCAUUCAUACUAAGUUCUAAUGCAAGGAACAUCUUACACAAGUAAAGAUCACUAAGAAUCUCUACAUAAGUUUUGAUCAUAAUUCUCAUUGUUCUUAACAGAAUGUUUUGAAGAACCUUGGUAAUAACAGCUACUAACUCUCUAUCAUACUGGUCAUGCUAUGGUGAUAACUUAUUAGUGAAGUUUACUUUGAGAUAUCAUAAACUUAUAUAGAUCUAUUCUUAUUACAUAUUUCAGAAUUGGCAAAAUAGUUAGCUGUAUUUUUAUUUUUGCAAUAGAUAUCUGCAACUUGUUUAUACCGUCUCACUUGCUUAAUUUUAUACAAAGACUCCCUUUUUUUUUAAUCCGGUCAUCCGGUGUAUUUAGUUUAUCAACUUCAUUUUAGCUUUUUCCGUAAGUUACCAAUUUUUUUAUCAGGGGUGAGUUAUCUAUCUAUCAAUAUCCAACUUGUAGAGACUCUACUUUACACAAAACCCCUAAUGGAAGCUUUCAUAGCCUUGUUUUAUUAAAGAUCAUAAAUUUUAGAAGUUUUUUCAAUGACACGAAUGUUAUGAUCGGUUUAAGAUUAGAAGUUUCAAAAGUUUUUCAUUCUUUUUUAAACACCCCAAGUUAAAGAGAGGGCAUAGUUCGUCCGUGUAUUACCUUUUCAUAUCGAAAUCCAAAGCAGGUCCAACCAGCCACUUCUCUUCCCAAGUCAUGAAGCCACAAAUUAAACCCAAAGAUAAUUAGAAAAUCUUAUGGAAAUCCUAAUUCAUUGAAGAACUUUCCGAAACACUUACAGAGCAACAGAAAGCAGCGAUGGGAACACAAAAUUCAAAUAAUAGAAAAUUGCAAAAGAUAAUACUCCGUAGUAUUGGAAAUACGUGAUAAAGGAAAUCAGAAUCAAAGGGGCCCAAAUAAUGCAAACUAAAUUAAUAGAAACAGUGCUAAUAGAACGCUCACCUGAAGAAGGUGUAAAAUCUAUAAACCGCAAAGUUGAGAACAAAGAGGAGCUGUCUGCCUGGUACGGAUAAGAACAAGAAGAGUGAGAAGAGAGAAGCCAAAGAAGAGCUUGUAGAGAGCGGUGAUUGCCAGAUUUCCCAAAGUGGUCGAUAUAAUCCAAGUGAAGUUAAAAGAAGUUAGAUGGAAAGACAAUAUUAC